UGUUUUGUUCCUGAAAAUUGGACUGAAGAUGUGGUCUUUUCCUGGUAAUUUUCUUAGUAAUCAGAAUCAGCAGUUUUCACGGCUCUAGGGACCCUGGAAAUGUUCAAUAUUUGGUUCUCUUGGGGAAAAAUUUUCCACUGAUGAGUGAAUGAGUGUGAAUGGUCAAUUCUAAGGGAGGAGUUUCAAAGGUGACUUCUCUUACAGUGAUCAUCCUGCUCCUUUUUCAAAAGCAUGAAGCACCUAUCUUAACGGUACCCUUCAUCUUUGAAGACAUCAGCUCACUUCUCCAGAGAAGCCUUCCCUGUCUUUAUAUCAGCCCAUUCAGCUUCCCCUGAAAUCUGAAAUUUGCCAGCCAGGUAUCUUUCUGAAUGACUAACCCAUCCUUUACUCCACUUACCACCUUUUCUUGUUGGUUUCCCAAGCUCUGUUCAUAAGAUUUUUAAAAAGUGACAACCGAUGCCUUAUUGAUAAGCUAAGAAUUUAUAGCUUAGUUCAGAGCAUGCAUGCUCUUUAGCCAAUCAUGAAUUCAUAUAAUCAAAAGCUGUUUUCACCUUUCACAUCAACACCACAUUGUGUUGUCACUGAUUAUUUGCAGUGACUUAAGUCUAUUCGAAAAGCACAUCAGCUUCAGCUAUUAGGUAUUCAUAAAUACAAAGUUUGUUCAUUAUGGUUAAAGUGCUAUUUAUGAUAAGCCUGUAAAGAUUUGAACUUCUCAAGUUAAGCCAUCCUAAGUUAUGGGGUAUCUGUUUCCAAAUAAUUACAUUAAUCACAUAUGAUGUCUUUGCUCAAAAUGGGAAUUCAGGUCUGUUAACUAAUCCUACUAACAGCGCUUCUCUUGGCGCUAGAAAAAAGAUUCCAGGUCUCAACUGAAUUAUUUUUGGCAGUCAGUAAUCCCAUGUCCCAGAGACGAAGUUCUUUGCAUAAUCAAGUUUUUAAAUGUCAGUACGGUUUGGAGGGUUAUUAAAGUAUUUCUGACUUUUGAAAAGGCUUCUAAAUAUCCUAAGAUUGUUUACUCUUUCCUAAUGAAAUUAGAUAAAAGCUGAAGUUUUUGUCAGUCUGAACGGGCUCCCAAUACAGAGCAAUGGAAGCUGAGUGACAUGUCUGCACAUUUAGUCCUAAAAUAUGUAGCCCUGAAUCCAGAGGAAAUAGCCUAGCCUUGGAAGAGUUGAAGUCACAAGCUUGAAAAGCUUAAACAAAGAGAAGCCGUGAGGAAUUUGCAAAGUUGGAGGACAAAGUAGUGUCUUAUUUGAUGGUAAACAAGACCAGCAUAUGUCAAAAUCUUCUGCUGUAUGCCAUGUGAAAGAAGUAGGAAAGUGACAAAGAAAUGGCCGUUGACCCAGAUGACAUAUAAAGACCAGGUCCAAUAGUAGUCAUACCUACAAACAUUUUACAAAUGAACAUUGAGAAGACAGUCGUGUAAGUUUUUCAAGAAGGGUAUGCUGGUGAAAUCGUUCUGGAGUCCCUGGAUAACAUAAGAUGUCAUUCCCUGACCUUCACAUACAAAAGAUAUCCUGACUGUAUGUUUCUUCUUGGAUCACAAAGUGUCCUCUCCAAACUCUGUAGCUGCCUUCAUUGUCUCUUAGCUUUUGGUGUCUCCAAAAAUCAUCUGAAAAAGGCGUCAUUUUUGUUCCCUUUGUUCGUGUCAUCUUUUCGUUACCUUGCUGCUUGGGCAAUUUUUUUCUCUUGUCCUGUAAUCCAUGAAAAUUGAAUGUAGCAAUUUAUAUAUAGUCAUCCCUGCUUAUCCUCUGGGGAUGCAUUCCAAGACCCCCACUGGAUGCCUGAAAUCGCGAAUAGUACUGGACCAUAUAUAUAUGUAUAUAUAUAUAUAUAUACACACACACACACACAUAUAUAUAUAUACUAUGUUUUUUCUAUACAUACAUAUGUAUGAUAAAGUUUAUUUAAUAAAUUAGGCACAGCAAGAGAUUAACAACCACUCAUAAUAAAAUAGAAUGAUUACAAUAUACUGUAAUAAAAGUUAUAUGAAUGUGUGCUCUCUCCCUCUCAAAAUAUCUUUCAUAUUGUACAAAUCGAAUGCCUUUUCCAUCUUCAUUAAGCACUUAUCACGCACUGUGGCAGUAUCUUUUGCAGUUUGAGGUGUGAUAGUAAAACUAACACGAAUUUCUUUUUCCUUCUUUACAAUUUCUCAGAUAGAAGAUUCGUUCUUACCAUAGAUCUUAGCAAACUCGGUACACAAACUUUUUUCUUUCCUUAUUAAGUCGAGAACUUUUACCUUUUCACUUAAAGGGAGCACUAUACGGCUUACUCUUUGGCAGAUCCAAAUGCCAGCGUCACUACUCUUGCGCUUUGGGGCCAUUGUUAAGUAAAAUAAGGAUAACUUGAACACAAACAUUGUGAUACCACGACAGUCAAUCUGAUGACCAAGAGGUGGCUAAGUGAUGAAUGGGCAGGAUACACGGUACAGAGGGAUAAUUCUUGUCCCGCGUGGGACACAGCUGCAUAGCGGGAGAUCUCAUGACGCUACUCAGAACAAUGCACAAUUUAAAACUUAGGAAUUAAUUCUGGAAUUUUCCACUUACUAUUUCCAGACACAAUUGACUGCAGGUAACUUAAGCCACUGAAAGUGAAGCUGCAAGUAAGGGGGCGUCUAGCGUCCUGGUAAAUGUUUAAAAACAAACUCUCCAAAGAAAGAAUGUGUAUAUACCUCUGUGUGUUUACUGUAAAUUUUAAUGAUAGGUAGGAUGCAUAGCACACAAGUGGUAAAUAAUCAUACAAUUUAUAAUUCUCUUUAAAUCCCAUGCAGCUAAUUGGUUCUUAUUGAAUGACUUCUUUGGUAUUUACUGAACACUCGUUAUAUAGACAUCUUAUGGCUGCAAUCAAAAAAUUAGUGUAGUUCCAACAUGAAUGUUGGUUGAUAGUUUCUUUUAUGUUAAUAAGAAGUGAAACCACAGAAACUUAUGUCAGAACUUCACUUAUCUGUCAGUGACCUGAGUGAAUUCUUUUCUCAGUAGAUAAUUUUUGAAUAUCAGAAGAAUGUUCCUUCAAUUUUUUUUGUGCUAUUCAUGAUAGGAUGACUAUAGACACAGCACACUUUUAAGUUGAAUCCUCAUUAUUAAUGUUUUCUCCAUCUACUUUCUGCAGUCUAGACAAUCAACAAAACAAGAAACCAAGCCCGGAUUUUUACCUUUUAUUGAUUCCAAUGGUAUAAAUACUCCCACCAUGGCUGAUUUCAAAUUACCACUGUGAAAUCACUGAGCCCAGAGUAGGGAAGGAUGCAUGGCAGCACAUCAUUAUACAGCAUUUCCUCUGUACAGUUACCAUAGAUGUAAAUAAC